rnacentral:misc_RNA from 1 species
AACGCACAUUGCGCCCCUUGGUAUUCCAUGGGGCGUGCUUGUUCGAGCGUCAUUUGUACUCUCAAGCUUUGCUUGGUGUUGGGUGUUUGUCCUUGCCUUUGCGUUUGGACUCGCCUUAAAGAAAUUGGCAGCCGAUGUAUUGGUAUAGAAGCGCAGCACAAUUUGCGAUUCUAGCUAAUAAUUACUUGCAACCAUCAAGUCUAUUUAACACUUUUGACCUCGGAUCAGGUAGGGAUACCCGCUGAACUUAA